AUUCACUAUGCGCGUUCACAGGGGAAUCACCUGCAUUCCACCACUCAUUUCAAGUCAUUCUAAUUCUCCGGUUGGAAUGUUAUUCAAGAUACAGUAUAUGUAAACAACAUUCUAAAGACUGAUUCAGUACAUCGUUUGAUAUGUUUCUACUGACUGUUACGGAACUUUUGGACAUUUCGCCACGUUAUAGUGGACGCGCUUUGUGACUUUGGAAUUGUUUACCAAACACGCUAAGCAAAGUAGCUAAUUGGACAUAAAUAACGGACAUUUUCGAACAAAUCAAGCAUUUAUUGUGGACCUGGGAUUCCUAGGACUGCAUUCUGAUGAAGUUCAUCAAAGGUGACUUCACAGGAACAUCGUUGACUUCUCAGAGCGGAGUGUUACAGAAGACGGAUGGGUUUCCCAUUACCUUGGCUGAAGUGAUGAGUCAAAUCUAGCUAUACGGCUGCAACGAAGAGAGGAUGAAAGACAAGAGACUAUAGAGGAGAUGCUACAUUGAAAUCACAAUAUUACAUUUAUUUUCCCAUCUAUUUACCACCACAAACCGAUGCUGGCAGUAAGACCGCACUCAACGAGCCUUAUAAAGCCAUAAGCAAACAAGAAAAUGCUCAUCCAGAGGCAGUGCUCCAAGUGGUCGGGGACUUUAAUGCAGGGAAACCUAAUUCCAUUUGACCUCAUUUCUACCAGCAUGUUACAUGUGCAACCAGAGGCCCAAACAAUUCUGGAACACCUUUACUCCGCACACAGCGGCAUGUACAAAGCUC
ensembl:lncRNA